rnacentral:rRNA from 1 species
UGCGCAGGUGGGCUUGUAAGUCAGUGGUGAAAUACUGCCGCUUAACGGUAGAACUGCCAUUGAUACUGCAAGUCUUGAAUAUGGUUGAGGUAGGCGGAAUGUGUCGUGUAGCGGUGAAAUGCAUAGAUAUGACACAGAACGCCGAUUGCGAAGGCAGCUUACUAAGCCAUUAUUGACGCUGAGGCACGAAAGCGUAGGGAGCGAACAGGAUUAGAUACCCUGGUAGUCC